CGGCGGACGGGUGAGUAACACGUGGAUAACCUACCUAUAAGACUGGGAUAACUUCGGGAAACCGGAGCUAAUACCGGAUAAUAUAUUGAACCGCAUGGUUCAAUAGUGAAAGACGGUUUUGCUGUCACUUAUAGAUGGAUCCGCGCCGCAUUAGCUAGUUGGUAAGGUAACGGCUUACCAAGGCAACGAUGCGUAGCCGACCUGAGAGGGUGAUCGGCCACACUGGAACUGAGACACGGUCCAGACUCCUAGGGAGGCAGCAGCG
rnacentral:rRNA from 1 species